rnacentral:rRNA from 1 species
GACGAACGCUGGCGGCGUGCCUAAUACAUGCAAGUCGAGCGAAUCAAUAGGAGCUUGCUCCUGUUGGUUAGCGGCGGACGGGUGAGUAACACGUGGGUAACCUGCCUGUAAGACUGGGAUAACACCGGGAAACCGGUGCUAACACCGGAUAAUCCUUUUCCUCUCAUGAGGAAAAGCUGAAAGACGGUUUCGGCUGUCACUUACAGAUGGGCCCGCGGCGCAUUAGCUAGUUGGUGAGGUAACGGCUCACCAAGGCGACGAUGCGUAGCAGACCUGAGAGGGUGAUCGGCCACACUGGGACUGAGACACGGCCCAGACUCCUACGGGAGGCAGCAGUAGGGAAUCUUCCACAAUGGACGAAAGUCUGAUGGAGCAACGCCGCGUGAGCGAUGAAGGCCUUCGGGUCGUAAAGCUCUGUUGUUAGGGAAGAACAAGUACCGGAGUAACUGCCGGUACCUUGACGGUACCUAACCAGAAAGCCACGGCUAACUACGUGCCAGCAGCCGCCGUAAGAC